UUGAAAAACGACGAGCUUCUCUCUCAUCUACAGUAUAUAUCUAUCUUUCUCUGUACUUGAAAAUCUACAACUAUAACGAUUCGUUUUCAUUUUUGUUUCCCUCCGCAGAUUUCUAAAAAAACAAUUCCCUUUCAUAUCAAACCCUAAUUCUGCUUCAUCGCGCAUCUGUGUCAUCGUCAAGACAUUGUUUCUUUAAUCUCUGUUUUAUACACUUAUUCAUCAUCUUCACUGAUCAAUUGUUCUGAAACCUUCACGAAUCUUCUUCUUCUUCUUCUUCAUUGAUAAACGCUUCCCUUAACUGCGUUUCCAACCACGCAGAAAUUGCCCUAAAACAAGACUAACCACAAUCCAAUUACACAGUUUAACUUUCCGGUGGUCGCCGGAGCCCGCACAAGGAAGAGUCGCCGGAGCCGUUCAGAACAUUAGGAAUCGGAUAAUAAGAAGAAGGACUGGGUUAGGGUUUCUGGAUAGAAAGCUAUGGAUGAGUACGAUAGUGGUGGCCGCAGUGCCGAUAAAGCUCCUGGAGCCGAAGAAGAAGGGAGCACAACACCACCACUUCCUGAGAAGGUUCAAGUGGGUGGUUCCCCAUUAUACAGACUUGAUAGAAAGCUUGGUAAGGGAGGAUUUGGACAAGUCUACGUUGGUCGACGCCAAGGAGCUGGUUCCGGUGCCCUUGAGGUAGCGUUAAAAUUCGAGCAUAGAAGCAGCAAAGGAUGCAAUUACGGACCUCCAUAUGAGUGGCAAGUUUACAAUGCCUUAGGUGGAAGUCAUGGCGUUCCACGAGUGCAUUACAAGGGACGGCAAGGUGACUACUACAUUAUGGUCAUGGAUAUGCUUGGCCCUAGUCUAUGGGAUGUUUGGAAUAACAACUCACACACGAUGUCUACAGAAAUGGUGGCAUGUAUUGCAAUUGAGGCUAUCUCCAUAUUAGAGAAGAUGCAUUCUAGAGGAUAUGUGCAUGGUGAUGUAAAACCUGAAAACUUUUUGCUCGGACCCCUGGGAACUCCUGAUGAGAAAAAGCUGUUUCUGGUUGAUCUUGGAUUAGCAACUCGGUGGCGUGAUAGUACAACUGGCGGUCAUGUAGAUUAUGAUCAACGUCCAGAUGUAUUUAGGGGCACAGUUCGUUAUGCUAGUGUCCAUGCACAUCUUGGUAGAACAGGUAGCAGGAGAGAUGACUUGGAGUCUCUUGCUUACACACUUGUCUUCCUUCUUCGUGGCCGGCUACCUUGGCAAGGAUACCAGGGAGAAAAUAAAGGAUUUCUUGUCUGCAAGAAAAAAAUGCAAACAUCUCCCGAAAUUUUGUGUUGCUUUUGUCCUGCACCUUUCCGGCAGUUUGUUGAAUAUGUAGUGAAUUUGAAGUUUGACGAAGAGCCAAAUUAUGCAAAAUAUAUAUCCCUUUUUGAUGGAAUUGUGGGUCCAAAUCCUGACAUUAGGCCAAUAAAUACUGAGGGUGCUCAGAAGCUUAUAUGUCAAGUUGGACAUAAGAGAGGACGAUUGACCAUGGAAGAGGAUGAUGAUGAACAACCAAAGAAGAAGGUCCGAAUGGGAAUACCAGCAACACAGUGGAUUAGUGUUUACAAUGCUCGAAGACCAAUGAAACAAAGGUAUCAUUACAAUGUGGCUGAUGAGCGGCUUUCCCAACACAUUGAAAAAGGAAAUGAAGAUGGUUUAUUUAUUAGCAGUGUUGCUUCUUCUUCUAGUCUUUGGGCACUCAUUAUGGAUGCCGGCACUGGUUUCACAGCACAAGUUUACGAACUCUCUUCCAGUUUUCUUCACAAGGAAUGGAUUAUGGAACAGUGGGAUAAAAAUUAUUACAUCAGUGCCAUAGCUGGAGCUAGUAAUGGGUCCUCGUUGGUUGUAAUGUCUAAAGGGACCCAGUACUUGCAGCAAUCCUAUAAAGUCAGCGACUCAUUUCCAUUUAAGUGGAUCAACAAAAAAUGGAGAGAAGGAUUUUAUGUCACUGCUAUGGCCACUGCUGGCACUAGAUGGGCAAUUGUUAUGUCUCGUGGUGCUGGAUACUCGGACCAGGUUGUCGAACUUGAUUUCCUGUAUCCUAGUGAAGGUAUUCAUCGAAGGUGGGAUAACAAUUACCGCAUAACCUCAACUGCCGCGACAUGUGAUCAAGCUGCUUUUAUUUUAAGUGUUCCAAGAAGAAAACCACCUGAUGAAACUCAAGAAACGCUCCGCACGUCUGAUUUUCCUAGUACUCAUGUUAAGGAAAAAUGGUCAAAGAACCUCUAUAUUGCAUCGAUUUGUUAUGGGAGAACAGUUUCAUAAACAGCUGCUAUUUUUUGAGAUCCCAGCUGACAUUAUUUUGACCUAUUGCAUGAUCAUGCUUGCCCACAUGAUUUUCAGUCGGGAAAUGAAGAUCCUCCAUGACAAAUUUCCUGAACAAUGCAGUUCGAGGUUGAUUAUCCAAGUCUACAGAUGGACUUCUCCUGGUGAUUCAUUCUACCUGAAUGGUGCUUAUUUUGUUUGAUUAUUUUUCUAACAUGAAGCACUGCAAGAUGCACUUUUGAUUCUUGUGAGAAGAUGGCUGUCUUUUGAAGCUCAUCUUUGGGGGAUAAUUUGUAUAACACUUCACUGCUGAGUUGUGUAUUACUUGAGAGUUACUGGAACUUUGAAACAGAAAUUCAGGUUGCAUGGCUGCUUCAUUUAACAUCCGAUGCUGUUGUAACAAGUGGAUGUUUUUGGUUGGUCAAUGCCAUGAUUAUGAAGCUGAAGCAACCCAUAUGUCAAAUGGGAAACUGUUUAAGGAUCAUAGUUUUAUCUUGGAACUAACCCCAUGUGAUUAUUUCCACUUCCUUCACUUGAUUUGUUAUAUUCUCUUUUGAUGCUAUAUUUUGGAUUUCACACUAUGGCAACGUCUAGGGUGUGAAGAUAAAACAUACCAGUGUGUAAUCAAAACUUGCCAUUAUAUAUAAUUAUAUAAUAAUUGAAUGAUCAUGAUAUUCACUGACAACUGGUUCGAAGAAAUUCUACAUAUUGCAUCA